ensembl:lncRNA
CCACCUGGUGUCCCAGGUCUAAAUCGGUCCCUGAUUAGUGGAGAAUCACCCACCUGGUGUCCCAGGUCUAAAUCAGUCCCUGAUUAGAGGGGAAUCACCCACCUGGUGUCCCAGGUCUAGUCUAGUCCCUGAUUAGAGGGGAAUCACCCACCUGGUGUCCCAGGUCUAGUCCCUGAUUAGAGGGGAAUCACCCACCUGGUGUCCCAGGUCUAAAUCAGUCCCUGAUUAGAGGAGAAUCACCCACCUGGUGUCCCAGGUCUAAAUUAGGCCCUGAUUAGAGGGGAAUCACCCACCUGGUGUCCCAGGUCUAAAUCAGUCCCUGAUUAGUGGAGAAUCUCUCACCUGGUGUCCCAGGUCUAGACCCUGAUGAGAGGAGAACAGUGGCGCUGGCUUGGAGCUCCAGGGUCCUAGAGGUCAUAGCUGUUCUACAUGUUAUUCUAUGGGUUUAAUCAGCCAGGAUCAGCUGUUUUCAUCUCCAGUGUGUUUUGCUGUACAGCAGGUUUCUCAAACUCGGUCCCGGGGCCCCUCUUGGGUACACUGGUUGUUGUCCUAGCACGACACAGCUGACUCAAAUAAUCAAAGCUUGACGAUGAGUUGGUUAUUUGAAUCGGCUAUGUACUGCUUGGACAACAACUAAAACAUGUGUAUACACACACAUAUGUCUGCCCUUGUUUGUGGGCUAAAGGAGAUCUGUUGGAUCAUGUAGCUCCAACCAGCUUAUAAAAACCAUUGAAUCAUGUUGAUGAGACAGGUCCUUCUGAGGAAACACGGACCUCUCUGCUCCUACAUGUUGAUGAGACAGGUCCUUCUGAAGAGAUAGGAACCUCUCUGCUCCUACAUGUUGAUGAGACAGGUCCUUCUGAGGAAACACGGACCUCUCUGCUCCUACAUGUUGAUGAGACAGGUCCUUCUGAAGAGAUAGGAACCUCUCUGCUCCUACAUGUUGAUGAGACAGGUCCUUCUGAAGAGAUAGGAACCUCUCUGCUCCUACAUGUUGAUGAGACAGGUCCUUCUGAAGAGAUAGGAACCUCUCUGCUCCUACAUGUUGAUGAGACAGGUCCUUCUGAAGAGAUAGGAACCUCUCUGCGCCUACACUCCUGCACAGAAAAAUAUCUUUCAUCACAGACCACCUCGUUAGAUCAUUGAGCUGAGCCAGAGACUGGGCUAUCUCUCUGCUAAAUCACAAUGUUUAUUAAAUCAUUGUGUCCAGAGUUGUUUAUCUCUCGUUAUCGCUCCCUGUUGGUAUGUGGUGGGGGGAGGAGAGGGAGAGUGCGGCUCUUUAACACUAAUGUGGGUAUAUCUCUGUCAUUUACAGUAGCCUGGGGAGGGAUGUUACAUGUAGGAAGCAGCCUGGGGAGGGAGGGAUGGAUGUUACACUGAAAGGCGUGAGGAAAGAAGUAGCACAUGCCACACCUCCCUGUCACUCAGUGGUCGCUAUGGAGCCUGCCGUGGUUGCCAUGGUGUUGUCGGGGAGGGGCAGUAGGAGAGGUUAAAGGAGACAGAAGAGUGACAUCAUACUCUCUUUCAGCUCCAGGGCUUUAUGGUUGACGUGAAGCGUUCAGAACGUUGCAGAUAGAAAUAGAUUAACUACAGCUGGAACGACUCCCUGUUCUACAUAACAGACCUGCCCAUGUUUGUUCUACACAAUACAUUUCUACAUCCUGAUAUGGUGGAGGCUGAUUAAAAGACGUUCUCGAGGGGCUUUAUUGGCAUGGGAAACAUGCCUACAAGUGAGAAAUAUUAAACAAAAGUGAGAAGGCAAAACAUCAACAACAAAUCGAUUAGAAUUUAACAGUAAACAUUGCACUCAAAAAGGUUUUUACAAAAAAAAAUCAACAUUUCAAAUAGUCUGUUUUGAUUUUUCUUUUCAAAUUCUUUGUGUUUCUGUGUGAAAUAUGUAUCUGUAAUGUGAUUAUACAUUUAGCAUGAGGUCAGGAAGUGCAGCUCAGUCUCACUCUCAGGGCUCUGGCAGACAAAGAUCACGGACACUGCUGAUACUCUUAGACACACACAUUGUGUUAAUGGUGCUGUCACUACACACACACACACACACACAGACGACAUGUAUGCAUCAGGUGCAUGUUGUAUGGACCAGGUCGCAGAGGUUAUAGUUCAGGGUUCAACCUCCUUUCUGUUUCUCCAUCACUCAACGACACUGUCAGAGUUUGUUUUUAUUUUGACUUAUCCUGUAUUCCUUCCUUUUUCUUUUCUUUUUUUAUAGAAAUGUUUUUUUUAUAGCUUUUUGUUACUCAAGACGAGAGGUUUUUAAAAGCAUAAAUGAAGGUGACGAUGUGUUUAUUAGCGUUAGCGGUGGUGAUGUGUGUUGUAGGCUGUUUCAGCAUGAUGGAAUCACAUGAAACUGUUUCAACACUGAGAUGAAGACCUACUGUUAACCGGUGAGCUGUAAUAAAAUAUUAACUGAAAG